GAUGAACGCUGGCGGCGUGCCUAACACAUGCAAGUCGAGCGAUUCUCUUCGGAGAAGAGCGGCGGACGGGUGAGUAACGCGUGGGUAACCUGCCCUGUACACACGGAUAACAUACCGAAAGGUAUGCUAAUACGAGAUAAUAUACUUUUAUCGCAUGGUAGAAGUAUCAAAGCUUUUGCGGUACAGGAUGGACCCGCGUCUGAUUAGCUAGUUGGUAAGGUAACGGCUUACCAAGGCGACGAUCAGUAGCCGACCUGAGAGGGUGAUCGGCCACAUUGGAACUGAGACACGGUCCAAACUCCUACGGGAGGCAGCAGUGGGGAAUAUUGCACAAUGGGCGAAAGCCUGAUGCAGCAACGCCGCGUGAGCGAUGAAGGCCUUCGGGUCGUAAAGCUCUGUCCUCAAGAAAGAUAAUGACGGUACUUGAGGAGGAAGCCCCGGCUAACUACGUGCCAGCCGCCGCGGUAAUAC
rnacentral:rRNA from 1 species